GCUCUAUCCACUGAGCCAAACCGGCCAGGGUUCCAUCAACCUUUUGAUGAAGCUUCUUGCAUUUAUGACAUACUGGAAUUAGCUUCCGGCA